CUAACAGGAGCACAAGGAAGGCUGCAGACAGUUUAACGUGAAUGCUUUUGUGCUCCUGCCUGAAAACAGGCCUUGAUGGAGCACCAGGGGGAGAGAAGUCUCUUUGAACAGAAAUGUUGAACAGCUGGGGAGAAAAAAAUGAGUGAGAUUAAGCAGGUGAAAGGAACAGCAGACUGAAUCACACAGUAUAUAGAGGCUUAUACAGUUAUCCAUACACCCCCUGAGUUCCACUUGGUAUGCAUGUGCUUAACUUUCCCAGUGAUUUCAACUAUCAAAAUACCCUGCACAAAACUGGAGACUUUGAAUGUGCUGAAAUCAAGCCACAUUUUGAGGUUGCUCUGCUCACUGAACACUAUUAUUAAAGUUUUUCUAGUCGUGAAUUUCCUCUGGUAUGCUCACUGAAUCAUCACGUACAUCUAUGAGAAGAUUUAAGGCAGCACUAAUGCAGCUGUACUGGACUUGAAUGGUGAAACUGGCGACAGAGUAAAUACCUGCAGGUUGACCACCAGCUAUGAAGAAUGUACCACAGUGUGAGGUCCAAACUCAGAAGUAAGCCACAGUCAGCUCACACCCAGCAUUGCUGCAAUUCUAUGUGCCCUCUGCUGUAUAUAACUACACAUAAGAGAAAAGAUCUCUCUUAGCUCUACACCAGUUUACCUACAUCUCAGCCAGCUGGAGGCCUGGCUGUGCUCCAUAAAGGACCCCUGGCUCAAGACUCACAAUGUACACCUAACCCCUUUGGCAAGCAAAGCAGACAGAUUUCAAGGAGGAAUUUCUAAAUUGCAGAUGCAGCACUUUGAAGCCUCAGAAAGUUAGAAAACUCUGAGAAGGAAACAAACAAACAAGCAAACCAGGAACAGAAAUUCUGUGUUAAAUUUCUGAUGGUUUAUAUCACUCCUACUGUAAAUCCCGGAAUUAAAAUCAAGAUAAAGAGUUAAAAUCUGCAAACUUUCUAUCUUCUUGAUUUGGUCUAUUUGCAUGCAACAACUUAAAAGCUUCCUUUCACGCAGAAAAAAGAACUUUUUUUCUUUACCCUGUUAACAUUUUCCCCAUCCAUGGGGGAUAUUCCUCUUACAAGUACAAACUAUUUUAUUUCACUGGGGAAAAAAUAAAUUAGAAAUGAAAUGCUUUAAAAGCCUAUUAUUUUGUGGAUAACCAGCUACAAAAUAAGUACAUUGCUCUAAAUCCAAAAAGGAGACUAGAAAACAAAAUGAAGAUUAUCGUGAAAAUUGCAACAAACAAGAUAUGCUGUUCACAAAAUAGAAUGGUGCUUACAGUUGCAUUCAGAUAUUCAGAUAGUGCCCACUUUGUUGCAUGUGGUAAAGGGAAAAAUAUUACCCUUCAUUGAGUAGCAAAGAAAUGGAGCUGAGUUGAAUUUUAGGAAAGAAAAAAAGAAAAAAGAAAAAAAAAGGAAAAAAAAAAAGGACCUUAUUCUUAUCAAAUUUGAAUGGAUAGGAAAGCAGGAAAGGAUAAAUAUUAAUCCUCCAUUCCUUUGCCUUCACUAAAGUUUGGAUGUGAGAAAUAUUCAUAUUCAGCCUGGAGAAGAGGAGGCUCAGGGGCGACCUUAUCGCUCUUUAUAAGUACAUUAAAGGAGGCUGUAGCGAGGUGG
rnacentral:lncRNA from 1 species